GGCUUGGCGCUUUGGCGACUCAGUCGUCUAACGGAGUUCAAACCAGCUGGGCAGAAAAGUUCUGGCGAGCUUUUUGGCAGCAAAGCUGCAACCGUUUUACUGAGAAAACUUGUAGCGAUUGCCAUUGAUUAACCAUUCUAAAAGUUGGCAAAGCACAC